GCGCAGUGCUCAUAGUGGAAACGAGACUUGAAUAUUGAGAAAGAAACUAUGAACAAGAUGGAAAUGGAACACACUUUUGUGAUGUGUAUUCGAAAAUAUUCAAAACUAAAAUACUGAUUAAACGAAGUCCACUACGAGCAAAAUUUUUCAUUUUUAGAUAGAGGAUGAGGAAUAUAUAGUAAAAAUGAGAAACAGCAAGAAAAUAUGCUCAAUGUGCGCAGAAACAAUUGUUGGGCACAAAAUAGUUACAAAUCAAAUCAACAAAAAAAAAGAGUAACAAACAAAAUUCUA